UCCCAACUUUCCCCCGAAUUUCGACUUUCUCUCUCAAUCGACAGUCGCCAUCGUUGCGAGAUCUCUCUCUCUUUCUCUCUCUAACAAUGUAAUCCGACUUCUCUCAGCCUGCCUCGAAGCAACUUCUUGGCUGGCUGUCGAUCAUCUCGACCGCUCAGCCGACUCAACUCGACGCAGCUCCGGCGGUGGCCGGGGGCUCGAAGAUGGUGCCCACCGCCUCCCCGAAGAAGCCCUUGUACUCCAUCCUGACCCAUAACCUCGCCAAGCUCACUAUCCCGCCGUCCUCGUCCUCCGCUCCUCUGUCCUCUUCCCCCUCUCAAGACUUUGAUUUCUCCGAGGUCUUUGGUCCUAUCACUCCCCACCCUCUCCACCCUAACCCUAAUCCUUCGUCCUCCACUUCUUCCAAUUUGCACCCGCCGGUUAUUCAGAACCGGUCCCACUCCUUCGUCGGCCCAUCCCCUCGAUAUGCCCACUCCAGGUCUCUCCCUUUCAUAGACUCUUCUGAAGAUGAAGGAGAUGAAGAUGAUGAUGAUGAUGAUGAUGAUGAAAAGGGAGGGAUUUUGACUGGGAAUGAACGAGAAAGCUCGGAUACUGGUGGCGUGGAUGGAAAAGAAAUCGUGAAGAGUGGUGCUAAGAUCGGGCCAGGGGAUUUCGAGAUACUGCGAGUGGUGGGGAAGGGUGCUUUCGGGAAGGUUUUUCAGGUGAGGAAGAAGGGUGGGCACGGCGAGGACAGCAAGGGCGAUGGGCUAUACGCAAUGAAAGUCAUGAGGAAAGAGACGAUCAUAAAGAAGAAUCACGUGGAUUAUAUGAAGGCCGAGAGGGACAUUCUCGCCAAAGUUGUGCACCCCUUUGUGGUUCCUCUCCGAUAUUCUUUCCAGACCAAGUCGAAGCUUUAUUUGAUCCUGGACUUCAUAAACGGAGGGCAUCUCUUCUUUCAUCUUUACCGACAAGGGAUAUUUAGUGAGGAUCAGGCGCGGUUUUAUACUGCUGAGAUAGUAUCUGCUGUUUCACAUCUUCACAAAUGCGGAAUUGUUCACCGGGAUCUUAAACCUGAAAAUAUUCUCAUGGAUGCGGAUGGACAUGUAAUGCUUACUGACUUCGGUCUAGCAAAGGAAAUUGACGAGUCAAGCAGAUCAAAUUCAAUGUGUGGAACCACCGAAUACAUGGCUCCUGAAAUUCUGCUUUCUAAAGGCCACAAUAAAGAUGCAGAUUGGUGGAGCGUUGGGAUACUUCUAUAUGAAAUGUUAAAUGGACAGCCACCAUUUACGCACGCAAAUAGGCGGAAGCUUCAGCAGAGAAUUAUCAAUGAGAAAAUUAAACUUCCACCACGCUUGACUAGUGAAGCUCAUUCUUUGCUCAAAGGACUGCUACAGAAGGAACCAUCUAAAAGAUUCGGAAGUGGACCAAAAGGUGGAGAAGAGAUUAAAGGUCACAAAUGGUUCCGAUCAAUCAACUGGAAAAAAUUGGAGGCUCGAGAGGUGCAACCAAAUUUCAAGCCGGAUGUUUCUGGAAAAGAUUGUAUAGCCAACUUUGAUAGAUGCUGGACUGCAAUGCCUCCAGAUGACUCACCUGCGCCAACACCUACUGCAGGUGAACAUUUUCAGGGUUAUACCUACAUUCCCCCUAAUCCUUGGCUUUCAUCCAGUUCUGUGGAAGGGAAACACCCACCGUAGCAGUAGUGGAAGUGGAAAUAAGCUACUGUAAGUUUGCAUUAGUUGAGGGAAUUAGAGAUAACCACAGUUUAACAUUGCUUGAUUUAAGUAUAUUCUCACUGAGUUGCUUUGUUCGAUGUUUUUGAACUGUAGCUACUUGUACCCUGCUGUAUUUCUUUAUAUUUUUAGUAGUUUAGGGACAUCCCUUUAGUAAUCAAAUCUGCUUCUUCAA